GUUAUUAUGAAAAACGAAACUCGUUCAAAAUAACGCGUAUUCGUUAAAUUGCGAUUAGGAAAAACGAUUGUAGUAGCACUAAAUCGUCAAAUUGCGAUUAAGAAAAACGAGAAUCGUAAAAAUGACGAUACUCGUAUUUUUAUUUACGAGUGCCUUCAGCUCUCGUUCAGCUUUCGUUGUCAUUUAUUUUUUUAUUUUUGUUUGGUUGAUGGUUGGUUUUUGUUUUGGUGAGCAAAAAAAUGCCUACAACUAAUGCUAAGCAGUUGGAUUUGCUGGUAGCUUUUAUGGAAACCAAUCCAAAUAUAGCAAAAAAUUACUUGCCGACGAGCCAAGCCAAAGCCAAAUCCAAAAAAUACUAGAUUGAAUCGAUUUCACUUUACUUACGUUGAACUUGGAAGGCUCAUUGGGUUCGAUGAAUCUCUUAAAACUCUUCUUUUUAUACGCAUUUCUUCUUCUUCGUUAGUUUGGGAUUCAUCUUCGCUUUCAAGAAAAUAAUCGCAGUGAAAAAACAUUUUAUAGAAUUUAUGCAAAUUACAUUUAUUUUUGAAACUUC